rnacentral:snoRNA from 1 species
UCCUCUUACAAAGGCGCACUUGCAUUGGUCUGCUUGCCUGUGCGUAAGAACUGGAGGAAUAUUAAAAUGAAUGAUGACUCUUCUUCAUCACUG